GACGAACGCUGGCGGCGCGCCUAACACAUGCAAGUCGAACGGAGCUGAGAGAAGCUUGCUUUUCUUAGCUUAGUGGCGAACGGGUGAGUAACGCGUGAGUAACCUGCCCUGGAGUGGGGGACAACAGUUGGAAACGACUGCUAAUACCGCAUAAGCCCACGAUCCGGCAUCGGAUUGAGGGAAAAGGAUUUAUUCGCUUCAGGAUGGACGCGCGUCCAAUUAGCUAGUUGGUGAGGUAACGGCCCACCAAGGCGACGAUUGGUAGCCGGACUGAGAGGUGGAACGGCCACAUUGGGACUGAGACACGGCCCAGACUCCUACGGGAGGCAGCAGUGGGGGAUAUUGCACAAGGGGGGAAAACCUGAUGCAGCGACGCCGGGUGGAGGAAGAAGGUUGUCGGAUUGUAAACUCCUGUCGUUAGGGACGAUAAUGACGGUACCUAACAAGAAAGCACCGGCUAACUACGUG
rnacentral:rRNA from 1 species